UAGGGAAUCUUCCACAAUGGGGCGCAAGCCUGAUGGAGCAACACCGCGUGAGUGAAGAAGGGUUUCGGCUCGUAAAGCUCUGUUGUUGGAGAAGAACGUGCGUGGAGAGUAACUGUUCAUGCAGUGACGGUAUCCAACCAGAAAGUCACGGCUAACUACGUGCC
rnacentral:rRNA from 1 species